GGAGACUCCUCCAUCUUGGGUGUUGGGAUGAGCUGUGGGGUCCUCCUCGGGAUGGGUCUGUAAAGACGCAGAGGAGCUGGUCAGGGGGUCCCAGUGGAAGCUCCAUCUUUGCACAGCAAGGAAGGCUUAAGGCUCUACCUCAUGCAAAGACAGGAUUUCUACUCAGGGUCCAAAUGACGUUUCCUCUGCCUGAACACGUCUGAGACCCCCUCCUUCCUCCGUUCGGCUGUGGGACCUGGUGCUUCUUGAUUGACGUAUGAGUUUGGGAAGACCACCAUCACCAAAGGCCACCGGCUACGCAGCUUAAACAGCAGGCAGUUAUUUCUUCCCGUUCUGGAGGCUGGGGUCCGAGAUCCAGGUGUGGGCAGGGCUGGCUCCUCCUGAGGCCUCUCUCCUUGCUGUGUAGACGCCGUCUUCUCCCCGUGUCCUCACGUGGUCGUCCCUCUGUGCACGUCUCAUGUCUUCCCAUCAGGACCCCAGUCCUGUUGCAUCAGGACCCACCCUCGUGACCUCAUUUCACCUCCAUCACCUCCUUAAAGACCCGUCUCCACGCACAGCCCCAUCCUGAGGUCCUGGGGUCAGGAUUCCAACACAGGAAUUUGGGGGGGACACAAUUCAACCCAUAAUAUUAGUGACGGCCCAUGGAGACCACGCUGGCAUCCCUGGCACUGGGUGCAGUAGGAGGAGGUGACGGCGGGAGACAGUAUGCAGAGGGACGGUCCACACCGGGACGGGUGUAGUUCCGUGGUGGAGACCACUGAGCAGGGGAGAGAGUGAGCCAUCACUCCCAGGGGCCGUUGACCCUUCUAUCUGCAAACCGAGAGCCGCCCAGAGGACAGACAAUGCUGAUAAAUAAUCCGUGUCAACGAAGAAGGCAUAGUCAAUUUUUUUUUCAAAUAAAACACAAAUAUGUCGUAAAUCAUGACUAAAUGAGUAGUAGCUUUUUUUGGCGCUUUCUACCUCCUCAUUCUAAGAACGCCAUAACGUGCUGCAGUCAUGAGGGGAUGCAUGAAUUUUUUGAUAUAAGACAGGCGUCCUGGUGCUCGGUAUGGUGGAGAAUGACUGACCUCUGUAGCUGCUUGGAGCAGGAGGCUCCCAAAAUGAAUCUUCUUUUUUCUUUUUUUUUCUUUUGAGGAAGAUUAGUCCUGAGCUAACAUCUGCUGUCAAUCCUCCUCUUUUUUUUUUUUUUUUUUUUGCUGAGGAAGACUGGCCCUGAGCUAACAUCCGUGCCCAUCUUACUCUACUUUAUAUGUGGGACGCCUGCCACAGCAUGGCGUGCCAAGCGGUGCCAUGUCCGCACCCGGGAUCCAAACUGGCGAACCCCGGGCCGCUGAAGCGGAAUGUGCGCACUUAACCGCUGCGCCCCCGGGCCCGCCCCCCCGAGAUGAAUCCUGAUGGCAAAUAAGACGAGACGGGAUCGGCAGAAUGAUGUCAGCUUCAGACAGAACUUUGCAAAGCCCCCAUCAGUUCACAGGACAGUCAUGCACCCCAGACGACGGUGGCCCCAUUAGAUGAACACUACGGACCCCGGGUGUGUAGGAGGCCACACCACCAACGUUUGCGAACAUACGGGUUUGUGCUUCGAAAAAGACUCUACUGCCUAGCAAACCUGGUCUCAUCCGCCCUUUGUGGAAACAGCCCGUCGUACGCAUAUGGCUUUACUCCUGCAGAAGAGACACCUGGAUCUUCAUUCCUGGAAAACGGAAAGAUGGAAUAUCUUGACUGUGG
rnacentral:lncRNA from 1 species